rnacentral:rRNA from 1 species
UACAGAGGUCCCAAGCGUUGUUCGGAUUCACUGGGCGUAAAGGGUGCGUAGGCGGUCGGGUAAGUCUGAUGUGAAAUCUCACAGCUUAACUGUGAAACUGCAUUGGAUACUAUUCGGCUUGAGAGUUGGAGGGGGGACUGGAAUUCUUGGUGUAGCAGUGAAAUGCGUAGAUAUCAGGAGGAACACCGGUGGCGAAGGCGGGUCUCUGGGCCGAUACUGACGCUGAGGAGCGAAAGCGUGGGGAGCGAACAGG